rnacentral:rRNA from 1 species
AUUGAACGCUGGCGGCAUGCCUUACACAUGCAAGUCGAACGGCAGCAUGAUCUAGCUUGCUAGAUUGAUGGCGAGUGGCGAACGGGUGAGUAAUACAUCGGAACGUGCCCUGUAGUGGGGGAUAACUAGUCGAAAGAUUAGCUAAUACCGCAAACGACCUGAGGGUGAAAGUGGGGGACCGCAAGGCCUCAUGCUAUAGGAGCGGCCGAUGUCUGAUUAGCUAGUUGGUGAGGUAAAGGCUCACCAAGGCGACGAUCAGUAGCUGGUCUGAGAGGACGAUCAGCCACACUGGGACUGAGACACGGCCCAGACUCCUACGGGAGGCAGCAGUGGGGAAUUUUGGACAAUGGGCGAAAGCCUGAUCCAGCAAUGCCGCGUGUGUGAAGAAGGCCUUCGGGUUGUAAAGCACUUUUGUCCGGAAAGAAAUGGCGCUGGUUAAUACCUGGGGUCGAUGACGGUACCGGAAGAAUAAGAACCGGCUAACUACGUG